rnacentral:rRNA from 1 species
AUUGAACGCUGGCGGCAUGCCUUACACAUGCAAGUCGAACGGCAGCACGGGAGCAAUCCUGGUGGCGAGUGGCGAACGGGUGAGUAAUGUAGCGGAACGUGCCCAGUCGUGGGGGAUAACGCAGCGAAAGCUGUGCUAAUACCGCAUACGAUCUAUGGAUGAAAGCGGGGGAUCGCAAGUCCUCGCGCGAUUGGAGCGGCCGAUAUCAGAUUAGCUAGUUGGUGGGGUAAAGGCUCACCAAGGCGACGAUCUGUAGCUGGUCUGAGAGGACGACCAGCCACACUGGAACUGAGACACGGUCCAGACUCCUACGGGAGGCAGCAGUGGGGAAUUUUGGACAAUGGGCGCAAGCCUGAUCCAGCAAUGCCGCGUGCAGGAUGAAGGCCUUCGGGUUGUAAACUGCUUUUGUACGGAGCGAAAAGGCUUUCUCUAAUACAGGAGGCUCAUGACGGUACCGUAAGAAUAAGCACCGGCUAACUACGUGCCAGCAGCCGCGGUAACAC